UCCGAGUUGUCCCCGGCAGUCCUUCUAGAGUUCCCGACAUUACUCGCUGGCAACAUAACAUGAGGGUUGCGCUCGUUGCGGGACUUAACCCAACACCUCACGGCACGAGCUGACGACAGCCAUGCAGCACCUUACGAUCUGUGUAUUGCUACAAAAUGAGCUUUCACCCACGGUCAAACCGCAUUCUAGCCCAGGUAAGGUUCCUCGCGUAUCAUCGAAUUAAACCACAUGCUCCGCCGCUUGUGCGGACCCCCGCCAAUUCCUUUGAGUUUCAACCUUGCGGUCGUACUUCCCAGGUGGGAUACUUAAUGCUUUCGCUCAGACACUCACUGUGUAUCGCGAAUGUCGAGUAUCCAUAGUUUAGGGCGUGGACUAC
rnacentral:misc_RNA from 1 species